CAGGCUCCGAGGCCACCUCACUUUCUGCAGGAAAUGCAAGGAAACCGAGCGCCUGCUAAAGCAGCACAAGGAUCAAGACUGCUUUCCGCCGAGCCCAGAGUCGGAGGGUUUUUGAAGUUCGGGAGACAAAACAGGAGCGCGAGGCAAGCAAGUACAGGUCCCCCCGCCUGGGCGCCGUGACAGGGCGCCCGGUGGGUGUCAGGUAUGUGGCCGCGGCAGUGAGUCAGGGGACAGCCGAGCGGGUUCGAAAUGUUACGGGGCAAUCGCUCCUCCGGAACCAAGGCUCUGACUCAGAGGGGAGAAGGAAUGAAGACAGGGCAGAGUUCUGAAGCAAUGCAAUCA